rnacentral:rRNA from 1 species
GUGGGGAAUAUUGGACAAUGGGCGAAAGCCUGAUCCAGCCAUGCCGCGUGUGUGAAGAAGGCCUUUUGGUUGUAAAGCACUUUAAGCGAGGAGGAGGCUACUGAGAUUAAUACUCUUGGAUAGUGGACGUUACUCGCAGAAUAAGCACCGGCUAACUCUGUGCCAGCAGCCGCGGUAAUACAGAGGGUGCGAGCGUUAAUCGGAUUUACUGGGCGUAAAGCGUGCGUAGGCGGCUUUUUAAGUCGGAUGUGAAAUCCCUGAGCUUAACUUAGGAAUUGCAUUCGAUACUGGGAAGCUAGAGUAUGGGAGAGGAUGGUAGAAUUCCAGGUGUAGCGGUGAAAUGCGUAGAGAUCUGGAGGAAUACCGAUGGCGAAGGCAGCCAUCUGGCCUAAUACUGACGCUGAGGUACGAAAGCAUGGGGAGCAAACAGGAUUAGAAACCCUGGUAGUCC